GACAGAGGUGCCGAGCGUUAGGCGGAAUCACUGGGCUUAAAGCGUGUGUAGGCGGGCGGGCAAGUACCUUGUGAAAUCCCACGGCUCAACCGUGGAACGGCUGGGUAUACUGCCUGUCUUGAGCCAACUAGGGGCGAGCGGAACAGACGGUGGAGCGGUGAAAUGCGUAGAUAUCGUCUGGAACGCCGAAGGUGAAAACAGACUGCUGGGGAUGAGCUGACGCUGAGACGCGAAAGCCAGGGGAGCGAACGGG
rnacentral:rRNA from 1 species